rnacentral:rRNA from 1 species
UACGUAGGGUGCAGGCGUUAAUCGGAAUUACUGGGCGUAAAGCGUGCGCAGGCGGUUUCUUAAGUCAGAUGUGAAAGCCCCGGGCUUAACCUGGGAACUGCGUUUGAAACUGGGAGACUUGAGUGUGGCAGAGGGGGGUGGAAUUCCACGUGUAGCAGUGAAAUGCGUAGAUAUGUGGAGGAAUACCAAUGGCGAAGGCGGCCCCCUGGGAUAAUAUUGACGCUCAUGCACGAAAGCGUGGGGAGCAAACAGG